rnacentral:rRNA from 1 species
AUGAGAGCAUUAUUUUGGAAUUGUAGGGGUGUUGGAAAGAAGGGCAUGUCUUCCUACAUCAAAGACAUAGUCAUGCUCAUCCCCUGGAUGUCCUGGGAAUUUAAGAGACUACAAAGAGGAAAUAGAAUGAUACUUUUUUUAGAAAAGAAUGAUCCUGGAUUUUUUUAUCAGCACUAUAUUGCUUCAGUUGGGAAGUCUCAGGGUAUUCUUUGUGGUAUUAAGAUGGAAACCUGGGAUACUUUUUCUGUUAUGACAGGGUGUUAUAUUAUGCAGCUUAGUGUGAAGCAUAAAACUUUGAAUUUGGAGUGGGCUGUGUUAGUUGUGUAUGGAGCUGCUCAUGAUGAGCAUAAGUUGGAAUUUCUUUCUGAGAUGUCUGAAUUUUGUAAUAGUAUUGCUGUACCCCAUGUGGUGAUUUAA